rnacentral:rRNA from 1 species
GAUGAACGCUAGCGGGAGGCCUAAUACAUGCAAGUCGAACGGUAAGGUCCUUCGGGAUACACGAGUGGCGGACGGGUGCGUAACGCGUACGGAUAUACCUUCAACAGGGAGAUACCUCCGGGAAACUGGAAUUAAUACCCCAUAGUAUUAUAGAUUCGCAUGAAUUUAUGAUUAAAGCUCAGGCGGUUGAAGAUUAUCGUGCGUCUGAUUAGGUAGUUGGUGGGGUAAUGGCCUACCAAGCCGACGAUCCAUAGCUGGUUUGAGAGGAUGAUCAGCCACACUGGGACUGAGACACGGCCCAGACUCCUACGGGAGGCAGCAGUGGGGAAUCUUAGACAAUGGGGGCAACCCUGAUCUAGCCAUGCCGCGUGAGUGAUGAAGGCCCUAGGGUUGUAAAGCUCUUUCAGCUGGGAAGAUAAUGACGGUACCAGCAGAAGAAGCCCCCGGCUAACUCCGUG